rnacentral:misc_RNA from 1 species
GUUGAACUCCACUGCUGUCCGCAAUCAAGAAUCAAAGGUCUCUCACCACUAAUCGCAGCUUGUUGAGCAAUCUCAUUGAAUUUUCCUAGGGUUACUUGUGAACUUUUAACAUGCCUUAUGCUUUCUCGGACCUUGUGGGUCACAUCUCGAAUUGCUUCCAUGACAUCGGAAACAAUUGAUUUCAUUAACUGUACUGCACAGCGCACAUCAAACAAUUCACCAUUCUUUAACAGAGGCCUGUUUUGAGAAAGCCAGUCUUUGAUCCUAAAAAUCAGUUCUUCAUAGCCCGUACAAUGAUCGAAAGUCAUUGAAAACAACUUACGAUCAAUGGCCCAGUCUGUCAAACUUUUUACAACAACUUCUGAAAGUAUGUCAUCUGUGUGAGAAGGGUCCAGUGUGAUGAAAUUCAGCAUUU